UAUAUUAUGUCUGUGGACGUGACCGGAUCCCGGCUUUUCGACUUUUUUCCCUUACAUAUUUUCAAACGGUGUUACUUUUAUAGUUUUAUAGUUUGGUAUCAUAUCCUUGGCCGAGCAGCAUAUAAUUAAUGCUGUACGAAUAACUGCUGUUCAUUUAGAGUUCAUACAUUAUUACCAUAGGUGGUGGAUCAUACCUAGGCUUCCAAACCCCAAAGUAUUCAUGGCUGUUAUGAUUGAGUGGAUCAAUACCAUUGGACCUGAGUAUUUUGAUGGGUUGGAUUCAAAAACCAUUUAUCUCACCAAACAAAUUUGUUUAAACUAUUUUACGUUUAAAAGGUUACAGUUUUGGAACAAUACAACUAUACAAAAAUAGUAUUCCCACUUUCAAUCCCUCAAUUUCAAUAGAUAUAGUGUAGCAGACUGUGCCUAAGACUGUAUGUGCCAUACACCGAUAAGCAUCUACGCUAUUUAAUCAGCAAUGCAAUCCACAGAGAAAGUGGAUACAGAGAUUUUAUAUUCAAUAUCCGUAGCCCUUCAGCAUCCGAUAUGAAUCAGGUUUUGAAUUACUUCAUUGUGAUAAUGAAAAUGAUUUAAUGCUUGAUGGUAGUGCUGAUUAUGCUAAGCUGGCAUUGGGUAUGCUGAUGUUGCUGAUGUUUUUUACUAGUAAGAGAAAUAGAUUUAUUAUGCAAAAUCUGUAUAAAACGGUCAAGUCUGUGAAGAUCAAAAUGCAAAUCAUUAUAUGCAGAUAGUGUCCUAUUGACUAAGCAACUAUGGUGAAUGAUAAAAAAGAGAUGUCUCAUCUACAAUGUUUCGCCUGCCAAAAAUGUGUCUGACAAUAUUUUGAAUUCUAAACCAUCAAGUCGCAUGACAACUGCUACAACUAUUUUUGAGUCCACUGGUUUGAAAGUUGUAGCUUAUAUUUGUGACCACUGACAUGACAGAAAAAAAUAUAUUGAAGAACGAUACAAAUACACAUUAUUGACGUAGAAACUUGAAGAUUAAAUAUGACCUAAAUAAUGAAAUUAAUUGUGGUACUUGAUGUUUGGAAAUAAUGCAUUGAUAUGACCCACUUUUGAUGACCAUUCACUUAUUAAAACGAUAAGAAACAAUAUGUGUGAUUAAAAUGUUAACACAAUAAAUGGUGAAUAAAAAGAAGCAAGUUUGGAUCAUAUUGUUGGUUUAUAUAAAAUUGACAGCAAUAUUCCAGACCAAGAUUAACACUGAAACAUGUAAGCUCAAUGUAAAAUGAGAAAUGCUACUCAAGUGCUGAGUGAAUGAGUAUCCUCAAUUAUGGCAUAUUCAUUAAGUGAGUUUUAUUGUUUAUUGUAAAAAAUAAAUUUUUAAUAUUUUCUGGCACGGUGUUAUAUACACAAGCCCACCAAAAAAAUAACCUUUCUGCGCGGUGGGACAAAUAGUAUACCACCUAUUUACCAUCUGAUGAUGGACAACAGGAGUUAGACAACUCGGGCGAUGAUGAAACAUAUUUUCCAAAGCUUUCGGUUCCAACCUGAAUUCCAAAAGAAGACGCCAACUACGAUAAAUUGUACAAGAUAAGGCCAUUUCUCAAUUUAAUUUAAACAAAUAGUCAGGCAGUAUACAAUCCAAAUAAAAUAGUAGCUAUAGAUGAAUCAAUGAUAAAAUUUAAAGGAUGUCAUUCAUCAAAGCAAUAUAUGCCUAAAAAACCCAUUAAAAAAGGAUAUAAAGUAUGGGCUUUGGCAGACAAGUACCUUUGGAAUUUUGAUGUCUGUACAGGAAAGUCUGGUGGUACGGUAGAAAAAAAUUUGGGAGCACAUGUAGUGAAAAACUUAUCUGCACCACUUAAAAAUAAAAACUAUUUUUUAUACCUUGACAACUAUUUAACUAGUUACCCGCUUAUGUCGUACUUGAAAUCAAAUGGGAUUUAUGCUUGUGGAACAGUAAACAUGACAAGAAAACAUUUGCCACAGCUAAAAGAUGACAAGUCCUUAAAACAAGGAGAAUAUGAUUGGAAUACCGAUCAAUUUUCAAUAUCUAUUAUUAAAUGGAAAGAUAAAUGAUCAAUUAAUCUUUUAUCUAAUUUCCAUAAUCCAACUGACACUGAUAUUGUGCCUAGAAGAGCUAAAGAUGGAACUUUGACAAUGAUACCUUGCUCGAAAGUUUUAUAAGACUAUAAUGAAAACAUGAAUUGCGUUGAUAAAUUAGAUUAAAACAAAAAGUCCUGCCAAAUUGACUGCAAAAGCCAAAAAUGGUGGGACUGUAUAUUUUUUUUAUUUCAUCGAUAUAGCAGUUGUAAAUUCACAUGUUAUAUAUACACAAUCCACUGGAACAACAAUAACUAUGAAAAACUUCCGACGUGAUAUUUCAAGGGAGCUACUAAACAAAACAAUUGUUUGUAAACGUCAAUCUAAAAGCACUAAAAAAUCACCAGCAGAAAUUAAAAAACACAAGCCUUUUGUACCUGACUCUCUUUGUUUGGAAAAAUCAGAUCAUCAACCAAAAAUAUCGACAAGAAGAAGAUGUGCAAAAUGCAGCACAAGAGAAAAAGAAGUUAGAAUUGAGUGGAUGUGUUCAGUAUGUAACGUUCCACUUUGCAUUACAAAAACCCAAAACUUAUUUGCUGAUCAUCAUAAGUAAAACUGUUUGAAGUCAGUGCAAGCCAAUAAUGAAACAUAUAAACAUAUAAGCAAAUAUAAUAGUAGUAGUAGUAGUA